rnacentral:rRNA from 1 species
GAUGAACGCUGGCGGCGUGCCUAAUACAUGCCAGUCGAGCGAACAGACGAGGAGCUUGCUCCUCUGACGUUAGCGGCGGACGGGUGAGUAACACGUGGAUAACCUACCUAUAAGACUGGGAUAACUUCGGGAAACCGGAGCUAAUACCGGAUAAUAUAUUGAACCGCAUGGUUCAAUAGUGAAAGACGGUUUUGCUGUCACUUAUAGAUGGAUCCGCGCCGCAUUAGCUAGUUGGUAAGGUAACGGCUUACCAAGGCGACGAUGCGUAGCCGACCUGAGAGGGUGAUCGGCCACACUGGAACUGAGACACGGUCCAGACUCCUACGGGAGGCAGCAGUAGGGAAUCUUCCGCAAUGGGCGAAAGCCUGACGGAGCAACGCCGCGUGAGUGAUGAAGGUCUUCGGAUCGUAAAACUCUGUUAUUGGGGAAGAACAAAUGUGUAAGUAACUAUGCACGUCUUGACGGUACCUAAUCAGAAAGCCACGGCUAACUACGUG